AUGCUGAGAGGUCAGGGUAAAUUAGAAGGGCUGGAAAUAAGCACCCAGGGGGGCGUAUCCAAACUGGGGACCAUAGUGUGCCCAUGUCUGAUCUAGUUGGACAUGGUAUUUCAAGCUCCUCUAUGGUCUACUACUUUGUUUCACUUCUUUUUUAUAUAUGUAAACACUCAGCUAUAGGAAAUCAUGGGACUGAUGCAAUGUUUUAAAUGCCUUAAUGUUAAAUGUUUUAAUGUUUUAUGUUAAGUCUGAUGAUUUAUAGUUUUUAAUUAGCUUAUUUAUGGGGGGUUUUCCAUAUCAGGAGCGACUUGAGAAACUGCAAUUUGCUUCUGAUGUGUGAGAAUUUGCUGUGUGCCACGACAUUGCCCAGGGGACACCCGGAUGUUUUGAUGUUUUUACUAUCCUUGUGGGAGUCUUCUCUCAUGUCCCCGCAUGGGGAGCUGGAGCUCAUAGAGGGAGCACAUCCACACUCUCCCCAGGUUGGAUUUGAACUGGCAACCUUCAGGUCAGCAACCCAACCUUCAAGUCAUCAGUCCUGCCGGCACUGCACCACUGGGGGAUCCUAUUUAUUUAUGGUUAUAUGUAUUGAUUUUAUACAUGUAAUAUUUUCUUUUAUAUGAUUGUGAGGCAUUGAAUCUUGGCCAUUCAUUAUGUUGUUAAACCGCUUUGAGUCCCCUGGGGGUGAGAAAAGCAGUAUACAAAAUAAAUAAAUAUCCACCAGAACAAUCUAACUUAAACUUGUAUGCUCACUUUCAUUUCUUUAAAGUCUUCUUAAACUAACAACACACUUCCUUUCCCCUCUGUUCCCCCUUGCCAUUAGCAUCCUGGCACACUUUAUUGCAUCAUCUCACCCACUCUUCCUUUUAUCCAAAGCCUCACUGUAGAAAGUAUUUAACAUUCUCUUUGGACUAACCAGCUUUUACUUUCUGAUCCCUCUUCCCUCCCCCUUGCCCUUCAUUCUUGAAGCAACUCAGCUUUCCCUGCUCUGGAAACUUCUAUCUGUAAAUAAGGCUGGUAACCUAGCAACGCCAAGUGAAUAAUACAUCUUCCCUGCUGUGUAACUCUGAUGCAUAAUCAAAUCAUCCCUUUCUUUCAUUUGAAACAUUAACGUUCACUUUAAGGUACACGAUGCAUAUUUACCCAUACAUUCUUGAUGGGGGGAAAUAGCAUUGCUGCCGUUCCUUCUGUGCAGUCUUUCUGGCUUCCUACAAAAUUUUGAACAAGAAGCAGUGCAACACAAGGGAAGACAACUCUUCCAUGCAUUUAUGGUUCAGGACUAACUUUCAGGUGGUGUCCUAGAUUCUCUUUUGCUUCAGAAAACAAAUGGUCUGAGUGCUGUCCUUGCCUAGCGCUCACACAGCAUGCUUCUCUAGAUAACAAUUGCUGUCUGAACAAUAAGGAAAGAGAAGGCAAAAAUCAAAGUGCUGGGAAGAGAAAAAUCAAUCUACUUGUAGGAGGCCACAACCCUCUACAUUGGUUUUUUGAGGCCCAUAAACCGCAGUUUGAUGACAGAAGCUUUUCACACACUUCAUGUUUGUUCUCAUCUUUCCCUCUUGUAUGUAUUCUUUUAAGUUCUUUGGGCAAUGAGCAACAACUGAAGCUUUCCACAUAGACUAGGUUUUCAGCUGGCUUGUCUCCUAUCGGAAGUCUCUUAAUAAAAAAAUUGCUAUUUUUUA